GGGUGGAGGAUAAGUAUGGUUUUUAUUAUUUACAAAAAAAACGAAAAAUGAAGCACAUGCUUCACCAAAAAAAGUACAAAAAAUAUAUAUGAAGCAACGCUUCACCAAAAAAAAGAAAAAAAACAACACAAAAAUACCAAAAAAAGACGUAGUGUAGGUUUUGUAGUGUAGUUAUGUAGUUAUCCUAUAAAAACUGUAUUGUAGAGUAGUUUACUGUUUGUUUCAUGUUCCUUCUUUGUUCAACCAUGCACAACAUGUUCAUGGUUAGCUAUUGGGAUACCGUGAUUUCUGUAUGCGGUUGCAUCAAUGUAUCUGUUGAUUGUUUCCCAUCUUGUUCUCUUUAACUACCAAAUUUGAUAUAACUUCAGAGAUAUGUUGCUCAGGUGGGAAAUGUUCAAUGAGUUCCAAUCAACUGCAUAUUAUCGUUACCAGAGAAACACUAGAUUUUUAAAGAAACAAAUCUCCCCUGGAACUACAACUACAAGGUUCAGAGUUCUAAUUUUAUGUUUGUAAUAUUGUUUUUUGAUAAUUAAUGAAGUAUGUAGCAUUUCUUUGGGGUCAAAACAAGCCAUAUCUCAUAUUUUCACAUUUUUAUACAAGUUUUCAAAAAGGUUGACAAUUGUGGUUAUUUUACGUGUUACUGCGGUCUGGCAGAUGGGGGGGGGGGGGGAUUGGAGUCAAACACAUAGUAUUCGGUCAAAAACUUUAGUUUGGAUUGACCAAUCUUGAUGAACUUUGGAUAUAGCAAGCUUGCAAUGGAGACUUAUAUUGGGAUAGCUUUGGGGCAAGUUGGGUAAAGGUCACUGUUACUUACAAUAGAAAACAUCGAAGAGGUAGUUUCCAGUCAAUAACAUAAGUUUGCAUAGACCAAUCUUGAUAAAUCUUUGGAUACCACAAGCCUGCAUGGAGACCUAACUUAUGAUUGUUUUGGAGCUUUGUCUGGUGAAGAUCAAGGUCAGUGAUACUAAAAAUAAAAACAAUGGAGUACGGUGUGUGUAGAUUAUUCAUAUGCAGACCUAGCAUGGAAGUUAAUUUAGGGCCAGUGGCAUAAAGGUGAAGGUCAUUGUAACCCAAAUAUUGUACUGUUUCUGCUCAAUGACUUGGGAUUCCACCUGGGACCACUUUGACAUAAUGCUAGGUCACUGUUUCUUAAAAAUAGAAAAAUUGUUUCUGCUAUCUGGCUUGAUUUUUAUGAAGAUAUUGUUGGUACAUUUAGUAUUUUGUAUGCUGGUAUCUUACAUGCAGAUCCGGCUUAGGAUUUUAUUUGGGACCAUUUAAAGUCAUGGUUACUUAAAAUAAAAAAAUAAGUUUUCUGCUUUAGUUCUGAUGGAGGAAUUAGGCAGAAAUUUUAUAUGUAGCUUACAUGCAGACCAUGUUUUGGAUUGAACAAUUAUUUAGUUAAAUUUAAACAUUGAAAAUGUGGUUUUGUGUCAUUGCCAUGUUUCUUGUUAAUAUAGACUAUUGGCACUCUAACAUUUGUCCAACCAGAGCUUUUUGUUCAGUAUUUUUCAUCAUGUGGUAGUCCUCUAUAAAGUUUGUUGAAAUCAUGCCCCUUGGUCGAAAACUUGCAAUGCACCAGGACCCAGUUGUUCGAAACCUGGGUAAAUUUUAACCCUGGGAUAAAUGUCGGAUAAAUUUAACCCAGGGUUAUUUUUUUUGGGUAAGUGUUGUUGCAUCAUUUUGGUUAAAUCUAUCCAGCGUUUUUUCUGAAUAAAUUUAACCCUGGUAUAAAGGUUGGUUAAAAUUUAUCCAUGUAAACAAACAAAAUGGCCGAAUUUUAUUUGUAUCUGAAUCCACGUAAGAAUCGCCAACAUUCUUUGAAUAUUGAGUUAAAUGAUGAUGAAAUGCGGAGCUGUUAUAGGUUUUCAAAUGAAAAUAUUGAUAGAAUUUAAUGAUUUAAUUGGCAAAAACAUCGAAAGAUCAACACAGCGUUCCAACGCACUUUCUGUCAAGAAACAGGCAUUGAUUACAUUAAGGUACCUGGCAUCAGAAAAUUUUAUGCAGACUGUGGGCGACACUUUCUGUGUAGAUAAAGGUACUGUUUCCAGAGUGGUAAACUCCGUUGUCAGCCAGCUGUGCUCCCUCAAAAAUCCAAAAAUCGGUUCAUCACAUUUCCAAUGACAGCUGAAGUCAUACGGAGGGAACAACAUGCCUUUUACAAUAUGCAUGGUUUUCCCUGCGUUAUAGGAUGCAUUGAUGGCACACUUGUCCGCAUACUGUCUCCAGGCUCCCCUGCUGAGAGAGACUAUGUUAACCGGAAAAACUUCCAUAGCAUCAGUGUGCAAGUGAUAUGUGACAGCCGAGGUCUAAUCACCAGCAUCAAUGCAGGGUGGCCGGGAGCUGCACACGAUGCCCAUGUCUUCAGAAAUUCAGCGAUAGGAGCGUAUUUAGAUCGGCAUCACGGAAGUUUGGAAAAUGGUGUUCUUCUUGGUGACAGUGGGUACCCGUGUCGCACGUUCCUGCUGACACCGUACCUAAACGCUGUGCAAGAACGGUACAAUGACUGUCAAAGCAACACAUGAUGCUGCAUUGAGCGCCUCUUUGAUGUUUGGAAGAGACGCUUUCACAUCCUUCACGCUGAGUAACCCGUACAGGCCAAGCCAGCCUGUCAGGAGACAUGUCUCAAACUGGACUGCUCCCUCUAGCUACAGACCUAACCCCUAUAAGUGGGUCAACCCCAGUCUGAGGUCCCGCUCUGACCAGUACAAGGCUGAUCUUCAGCCUGUCAGGUCUGAGCCAAAACCAGGGCCUAGUUAUUCUGCCACUUACAGUGGUAGGCCUGCAGUUAGAGAAAGUCCAAAAGAGGGAUACAGGUCUGAAGCACCAGCAUGCCUUCAGCAGGCAGACAGAUCUGAGAAGUCUAAUGAGUCUAGAUACAGAGAGAAAUCACAGGUCUCAAGGUCCAAGGAGCGAUCUCCUCCUCCCAAGAGAUUCAGGGGAGACUUCAUUGUGUGGGAUGAGUACAGCAGUGAAAGUGAUACCUCCCUGGCAACCAGCUCUGGCAGUGUAUCUUCUCUAGCAAGCAGCUGUGUCUCUGGGAGUAACAUAUCACUGUGUGAGAUGUCCUCAAGCAGUAGCACUGUCCUGUACAGCACUGGAAGUGAAUCAUCCCUGGAUGAUGAAUGUGACUGCAGUGUGGCUAAACCAGCUGUGGAGGCAGGGGGCCAUGAGCCCAAAGAGACACCAGAGCUGUGGGGAACUUAUCUGACUGAUGAUAUGAAAAGACAGCUUGAGUCUUGGGCUUUAGAGAAACCUGAGGACUUUGUUCCUGUGACCCCAAAACUCAGGGGAAACAGUGACAAAGGUCUUGGACAGGUCACCCUGAGCCUAAUCAAGAAGCCCCAGCCUGUUUCCAUGGUUACAGCUGACAGACUGUCCACUCAAGUGGUCACUCCCAAACCAAGUUUCAUUUCACAAGUGAAACCUCCACAUAUGGAGAACCAUGUCCCAGCUGAACUGCCAGAGCUUUCGGGAUGCUAUGUGAGUGCUGCAAUGCAGAGGCAGAUGGACCAGUGGGAGAGAGAGGCUAAUAGCCUGAACAUCAAGGCUCCAUCUAGCACUGGUCAAAUUCCUUUGACAAAACCUGGGUCUGCAUCUAAUCCAUUGAUGCAGUCCAGUGUGGUUGCUAAGCAGCAAGUCAAUUGGUGUGCUCCCAAGCCCUGUCUCCAGUCUAGUGUGGUUGCUAGGCCAGUUGUCAUGCCAACCCAGCCUGCACUGCAGUCAGCUGUGGGUGCCUGGACCACCCCUGUCCACAGGAUCAUACCUGGCCCUUCACCCGCUACCAGAUGGGGCCCCAACUCUUACCCACAAUCCUCUCUGAGGUGUUCAGUUGCUAGGAAACGGCCACUGGAGGAGUAUGAGAAUGAGGCUGCUCCCUCAGCCAAGAUUCACAUUAACAAGAACCACCCAAGGUUCAGACACUUGUUCCAGUAAACAAGUGUGGGUGGAGGAUAAGUAUUGUUUUUAUUAUUUAAAAAAAAAAACGGAAAACGAAGCAUAUGCCAAAAAAAGUACAAAAAUAUAUAUGAAGCAACGCUUCGCCAAAAAAAGUACAAAACCCCCCACAAAAAUACCAAAAAAAGAUUUAGUUUCGGUUUUGUAGUGUAGUUAUCCCAUUAAAACUGUAUUGUAGAGUAGUUUACUGUUUGUUUUAUGUUCCUUCUUUGUUCAACCAUGCACAGCAUGUUCAUGGUUAGCAUUUGGGAUACCGUGAUUUCUGUAUGCGGUUGCAUCAAUGUAUCCGUAUUUUGUUUCCCAUCUUGUUCUCUUUAACUGCAAAUUUGAUAUAACUUCAGAGGGAUGUUGCUCUGGUGGAAAAUGUUCAAUGAGUUUCAAUCAACUUUAUAUUAUGAUUACCAGAGCAACAAUAGAUUGUUUAAGAAACAAAUCUUCCCUACAUCUACAAGGUUCAGAGUUUUAAUAUUAUGUUUGUAAUAUUGUACUUUGGUCAUUAAUGAAGUAGGUUGUGGCAUUUCUUUAGGGUUAAAACAAGCCAUAUAUCUCGUGUUUUUAUCACAUUUGUAUUCAGGUUUUCAAAACAGUUGAAAAUUGUGGUUAUUUUAUGAUUUUAUGGGUUAAAGCGGUCUGACGGGGGGGGGGGGGGGGGGGGGGGGGGGAUUGGCAUCACACACAUAGUAUUCUGUCAAAAACUUUGGAUUGACCAAUCUUGAUGAACUUUGGAUAUAGCAAGCUUGCAAUGGAGACUUAUAUUGGGAUAGCUUUGGGGCUAGUUGGGUAAAGGUCACUGUUACUUACAAUAGAAAAAACAUCAAUCAGGUGGUUUCCAGUCAUUAACAUACGUUUGCAUAGACCAAUCUUGAUGAAUCUUUGGAUGCCACAAGCCUGCAUGGAGACCUAACUUAUGAUUGUUUGGGGGCUUUGUCUGGUUAAGAUCAAGGUCAGUAAUACUAAAAAUAAAACAAUGGAUUACUUGGGAUUCCACCUGGGACCACUUAGAUAUAAUGCUAGGUCACUGUUUGUUUUAAAAUAGAUAAACUGUUUUGGUCCACUAUCUUGAUUUUUAUGAAGAUAUUGUUCUUAUAUUUUGUAUGUUGUAUGCUGGUAUCUUACAUGCAGACCAGGCUGAGGAAUUCAAAAAGUGACCUGGUUUUUGACCCGGCACAACCCAGUUUCGAACUCGGCCGAGAUUUCAUUGGGACAAAGCUUCUGACCAAGUUUCAUGAAGAUGGGACAAGAAAUGUGGCCUCUAGAGUGUUCACGAGCAAAUGUUAACGGACGGAUGGACAUACGACGGACAAAGACCGGUCACAAAAGCUCACCUGAGCAAUCAGGUGAGCUAAAAAAGGUAUGUGUCCUUGGGUCUGGCAAAAUGGUUGGAUUCAGCUGUGGAUGACUGACUGCUCUCUGCUAUGGACUGUGGAGUAAGAUAGGAACUGUUCAUGGUUGGGCUGCCACCCUUAGUCAAUGGAGUCGAUGUGACCGGACUAGAGACUGGGUGCAAGUAGGAGUCAGAUUGGUAGGGUUCCAUUCUCAGCUAUUGGUGGGUGCAAGUAGGAAUCAUCAGAACGGUAGGGUCCAUUCUCAGCUAUUGGUGGGGAGGACACCUGUCUCAUAGCAGCACUGCAAUCAGACGACACAAGAAAUAAUAAUACCGGUAACAUCAGACAAGCCAGCUGGAAGAUUAAAAGCCAGACAGGGUAACUGUGCAGAAGAUGUAAAGUAAUAUAUGAACUUCAUGAGAAGAAUUGUACUAAUAAAUUUACUGUAUACCACACCCACAGGAAAUACUUAGCCUCUCUGCUCAAUGCCUGUGAUAUAAAAGAGAAGAAUUAGAACGCCGUGCAAAACAAACAGUUCCCGUCUAUCCUACUUGAAGAUGUUACAAUGCCAACUAAUACAAUGUGACUAAUAACAGCUCAUAAUACAGCCAGUUGUGUAACAUAUUAAAAUCAUGAGGAGAAAUCUAUGAUAAUGUGCUAUUACCAUGAUAGAUUUAAGAGUUAAAUGCCGCAAGACCUCACUCUUAUUUAUGGAAUAUGUUUGAAUAAAAACUACAUUUUACCUAUA